rnacentral:rRNA from 1 species
AUGAGCCCCUCCAUGGACUUGUGCUCGCCAUCGCAGAGUCGCGUGUGCCCUACACCGGCCAUCACCAUGGCCGCUGAGCACGACCUACGCCGUGUGCCGUCGGCACCACUGCUUCCGGCCACACUGUCCGGAGGCCUCCCACAGCCUCUGUCGUCCCACCUUGCAACCGCUGUGCCUCCUGCCUCAGAUCAACACCCAGACGGAGGAGAAGACACACACACAAGAGAAAGAAGGGGAGAGGGCCUUGCCGGAGAAAUUAACCUCACCUGGACAUCUGCCCGCCAGAACGCCUCGUCGGUGAGUCAUAGAAGGCCGUCGAGAUCCACAUCGCGUGCUAGCAGCCGACCCGGAUACCACGCACCUUGUUGUCCAACAGUGCGUACUCCAUCGCCACGGCAGCAGACAAUGGCCAUGAACGGCGAUGUCUAG